GAUGGGGAGAAAGUGGGGGAUCUUCGGACCUCACGCUAUUAGAUGAGCCUAGGUCGGAUUAGCUAGUUGGUGAGGUAAUGGCUCACCAAGGCGACGUGUAACUGGUCUGAGAGGUUCGAUCACACUGGAACUGAGACACGGUCCAGACUCGAUGGGGAGGCAGCAGUGGGGAAUAUUGGACAAUGGGCGAAAGCCUGAUCCAGCCAUGCCGCGUGUGUGAAGAAGGUCUUCGGAUUGAAAGCACUUUAAGGGAGGAAGGGCAGUUACCUAAUACGUGAUUGUUUUGACGUUACCGACAGAAUAAGCCGGCUAACUCUGUGCCAGCAGCCGCGGUACAGAGGGUGCAAGCGUUAAUCGGAAUUACUGGGCGUAAAGCGCGCGUAGGUGGUUUGUUAAGUGGAUGUGAAAGCCCCGGGCUCAACCUGGGAACUGCAUCCAAAACUGGCAAGCUAGAGUAUGGUAGAGGGUGGUGGAAUUUCCUGUGUAGCGGUGAAUUCGGUAGAUAUGGAACACCAGUGGCGAAGGCGACCACCUGGACUGAUACUGCACUGAGGUGCGAAAGCGGGGAGCAAACAGGAUUAGAUACCCUGGUAGUCCACGUAAACGAUGUCAACUAAA
rnacentral:rRNA from 1 species